UGAGUCAAUAGAAAAGUACUUCCUUUACGCAAAUUAAAUUAUUGCAAUAUAAUAAUGAUACCCUGUAUAAAUACUCGAGUGAUUCGUGUCUUCUUACCAAAUUUAAAAGUCUAGAACAUUGUACUAUACAAAAUUGUAAAGACGACAAAGUUAUGGAAGCAAAAUAUCUGUUAUUACUAUGCGUUGCAUUUUUCUGUUUCUUUCGCACUUGUCAAUGUUAUUGCGACUGUGAUUAUCAUGCUGGAGGUUG
rnacentral:lncRNA from 1 species